rnacentral:rRNA from 1 species
UACGUAGGGAGCAAGCGUUGUCCGGAAUCAUUGGGCGUAAAGCGCGCGUAGGUGGCUUCGUAAGUCCGUUGUGAAAGUCAAAGGCUCAACCUUUGAAAGCCGAUGGAUACUGUGAAGCUAGAGUACGGAAGAGGCGAGUGGAAUUCCUGGUGUAGCGGUGGAAUGCGCAGAUAUCAGGAGGAACACCAAUAGCGAAGGCAGCUCGCUGGGACGUUACUGACACUGAGGCGCGACAGCGUGGGGAGCAAACAGG